rnacentral:rRNA from 1 species
UGGGGAAUAUUGCACAAUGGGCGCAAGCCUGAUGCAGCCAUGCCGCGUGUGUGAAGAAGGCCUUCGGGUUGUAAAGCACUUUCAGCGGGGAGGAAGGCGUUAAGGUUAAUAACCUUGGCGAUUGACGUUACCCGCAGAAGAAGCACCGGCUAACUCCGUGCCAGCAGCCGCGGUAAUACGGAGGGUGCAAGCGUUAAUCGGAAUUACUGGGCGUAAAGCGCACGCAGGCGGUCUGUCAAGUCGGAUGUGAAAUCCCCGGGCUCAACCUGGGAACUGCAUUCGAAACUGGCAGGCUAGAGUCUUGUAGAGGGGGGUAGAAUUCCAGGUGUAGCGGUGAAAUGCGUAGAGAUCUGGAGGAAUACCGGUGGCGAAGGCGGCCCCCUGGACGGAGACUGACGCUCAGGUGCGAAAGCGUGGGGAGCAAACAGG